GCUUAGAAGAUUUCCCCAUUAAUGGCUUUUUGUGUUUUUUCUAGGGGAACACUGUUUAAUCUCUUAGUGAUUCUAAUCAGCAAGCCCAAGGUUCCAAAGCCCUGCUCUGUGUCUGAUGCCCAGCUGGUGGCUGAUCCAACCUCAGCGGAAGACGCAGCAUCUUCCGACGGUCAUUUACAGAAGCUUAUCCUGGAGUACACGGACACCGCGACAGCGCUGCUCUACGAGAUCCUGCUUGUCUUUCAGCAGGGGAAUCUUGGACUGGGAUCCACAAAGUUUGCUAUAAGCUGGAUGAUGUCCUUUCUACAGAGCUGUCCUUCCAUCGUGAGUAUUGAAAUGAAAAAGACCCGGCUUAAUGGAGCAUUUGUGCUUAAUUAGUAAAACACAGGCGUUGUGUUUAUGAUUGAGUCUACAAAGCAGAAGCAAAAUAUAA
rnacentral:lncRNA from 14 species